CCUGCUGGCCUAGUGGUAAGUAAUGUGUGGUGUGUGCCUAGGGGUCUUGAGUUCGAGCCUUCUGUGCGCUAAGGUGUUUUAUUUUGCUGCCUUGCAAUGUAAGAAGUAGAGAUUGACCGAAACUCUGAUGUUGGAGUGGUUGAGUGGGGAUGAAUAGCCAAAUUUGGGGAGAGUUUGGUGGGAGUAGAUAGGGGAGUAAUUGGUUGAGAGAUGUGGGGAGGUUUUUGAGGAGAAAGUUAAGGAGUUGGAGAGUGUGGGAGUGUAGUGCCGAAUGAGGACUCUCCUCAAUUGUUUGGUGUGAGUAGUGCACCUAGUCAUUCGGCUAUAUUCUUAGUGCCGAAAAUGUAAUCUAGUGCUCUCCAUUUUGGGUAAUCGUCAUUUGUCUUCUGUCUACUUUUCAUGUUUUUCCCUCUUUCGGUUAUUGUUUUGCUUGGUAGCCAUAUGUUCUGGUGACCACUCGGGGCAUUCUGCAUACUAGCCUGUUGUGGUUUUGUCUUCAAGGAGCUGAACCCCUCUGUAACUCUCUCAACUCUUAUCGUGUUUCGGCUUUUGAAGUGGGUUCUUGAGCAUUAGGUUAAGGGUUAGGGCAACAAGAUUGUUACAUCUCGUGCAUCGGGAUUAAGGUGUGCUUUGGGACAUUUUCCGAAUACUGCUAACCCUCGCUCUUAGUCUACGAGUUUGGUAGCCUCUAAGGAUUGAAAAAGGGGUUGCUGGCAACGGUUUGUGGAUCGAUCAAAGCAAGGGGACGCCGAUUUUCAUGAAAAUAUAAACAAAGGUUUUUCUGAAAACAUCACGCUCACGCAACACGUUUUAAAAGCUUUCGUACCAAAUACGGUUUUAAAGUUAAUAAUAAACUGGUUGAAGUGGUAUUUUACCUAAAUAACUUGAGUUUUACAAUGAGCUAGACCUUCUAACCUUUUGUUAAGAAUCUAAAGAAGUGUUUAUAAAAAAUAGAUUUUUCAUCAAUUAGUGUUUUGGAAAAACACUCGAAUGUGACAUCACAGAUUCGGCCAUAACGUCUAGGCCGGGUUUGGGGUGUUACAUAUGGAUUGACGAUAAGGAUCUAUACCUUAAAAUUCUCCUCCACUAUCAUUGUAAAAUGAAGUUAUUUUCCUUGGAAAAGAUUUCUACCAACAAAUUGAUUGGAUGUCAUUUUUAGUUCUUGGAGUGUAUAACCAAAUAUACCUGGUGUAUUAAUCAACAAAAAGGUAGUAAUAAAAUUUUUUAUCUACUGAUAAAA